AGCAGCCGCGGUAAUUCCAGCUCCAAUAGCGUAUAUUAAAGUUGUUGCAGUUAAAAAGCUCGUAGUUGAACCUCGGGAUCAAUGGAUCGGUCAUGCCAUCGGUAUGUACUGGUCUCAUUGGUUCUCACCUUCUAAGGAACCAUGAUGUCAUUCAGUUGAUGUUGUGGGGAAUUAGGACUGUUACCUUGAAAAAAUUAGAGUGUUUAAAGCAGGCCAACGCUUGAAUACAUUAGCAUGGAAUAAUGAAAUAGGACAUCGCAUUCUAUUUUGUUGGUUUCUAGGAUCGAUGUAAUGAUUAAUAGGGAUAGUUGGGGGCAUUAGUAUUCAAUUGUCAGAGGUGAAAUUCUUGGAUUUAUUGAAGACUAACUACUGCGAAAGCAUUUGCCAAGGAUGUUUUCAUUAAUCAAGAACGAAAGUUAGGGGAUCGAAGACGAUCAGAUACCGUCGUAGUCUUAACCAUAAACUAAUGCCGACUAGGGAUCGGAUGAUGUUGAUUUUU
rnacentral:rRNA from 1 species